AGUGAACGCUGGCGGUAGGCCUAACACAUGCAAGUCGAACGGCAGCACAGUAAGAGCUUGCUCUUACGGGUGGCGAGUGGCGGACGGGUGAGGAAUACAUCGGAAUCUACUUUUUCGUGGGGGAUAACGUAGGGAAACUUACGCUAAUACCGCAUACGACCUACGGGUAAAAGCAGGGGAUCUUCGGACCUUGCGCGAUUGAAUGAGCCGAUGUCGGAUUAGCUAGUUGGCGGGGUAAAGGCCCACCAAGGCGACGAUCCGUAGCUGGUCUGAGAGGAUGAUCAGCCACACUGGAACUGAGACACGGUCCAGACUCCUACGGGAGGCAGCAGUGGGGAAUAUUGGACAAUGGGCGCAAGCCUGAUCCAGCCAUACCGCGUGGGUGAAGAAGGCCUUCGGGUUGUAAAGCCCUUUUGUUGGGAAAGAAAAGCAGCAGGUUAAUACCCCGCUGUUCUGACGGUACCCAAAGAAUAAGCACCGGCUAACUUCGCG
rnacentral:rRNA from 1 species